GGAGAAAUGGCGGAACAGUUAAUUUAAUUAUAUUUAUUAUGUUAACGGAGGUUCAAAUCCUCCUUUCUCCA
rnacentral:tRNA from 1 species